rnacentral:rRNA from 1 species
UACGUAGGGUGCAAGCGUUGUCCGGAAUUAUUGGGCGUAAAGAGCUCGUAGGCGGUUUGUCGCGUCUGCUGUGAAAACCUGAGGCUCAACCUCAGGCCUGCAGUCGAUACGGGCGGACUUGAGUACUGCAGGGGAGACUGGAAUUCCUGGUGUAGCGGUGGAAUGCGCAGAUAUCAGGAGGAACACCGAUGGCGAAGGCAGAUCUCUGGGCCGUAACUGACGCUGAGGAGCGAAAGCAUGGGGAGCGAACAGG